rnacentral:rRNA from 1 species
CAGUAGCCGCGGGAAAACGUAGGGUGCAAGCGUUAAUCGGAAUUACUGGGCGUAAAGCGUGCGCAGGCGGUUUUGUAAGACAGAGGUGAAAUCCCCGGGCUCAACCUGGGAACUGCCUUUGUGACUGCAAGGCUAGAGUACGGCAGAGGGGGAUGGAAUUCCGCGUGUAGCAGUGAAAUGCGUAGAUAUGCGGAGGAACACCGAUGGCGAAGGCAAUCCCCUGGGCCUGUACUGACGCUCAUGCACGAAAGCGUGGGGAGCAAACAGGAUUAGAUACCCGAGUAGUCCCUGUCUCUUAUAA